AGGAAAAGAAACUAAAAAAGGAAAACAAGAAUGGAGGAAGGUUGCAGAGUGCUCUAACAAGAGCUAAAUCAAAUUAAAGAAAAGACUCAGUAUUUCCAUAAGGAUCUUCUCCGUAGCUUCCCCAUUUUAUAUCCAUAUUAGCCUUAUCUUAGCCAGGGUCCCAAACGUCAUUUGACAGGUUCUUUGGCGGAUAUUCGGGCCUACUUCUCUUUUUAAUGGAUCCACUUUCACCACCUUUGUCAUCUUGGGCCGCAUCUUUGAGUGAGAAAUCAACAACAUUAAGUUGGGAUGAACGACAAAAUUCUGUAGGGCUAGCACCUAAAAAAGAAGUUACAGAAAAAGAUAAGAAACUCAAACUUCGUUAGAUGCUUACCAUAUUAACAAAGAUAUAUGACCUAGUUACGUGUUCUUAUGACAAAAGAUUAAUAGUACUAAGAUUUAUAGUAUUAAGAUAAUUCCAUGGAAGAUAUAGAGGGCUUUCUAAACAAGUUAUGCCUCACAUUUUGCAAUUAUUGUAGGUUUACUUUCCAAUUUGGUAAGUCUUACAACUUCCAUACUUACCGAUUACUUAAUGAGGAACGUCCAUAACAGAUUUUGAAGAACUUUUUAUUCGAUCAGUUGAAACGGUGACGUUUUGGGAUUCAGAUCUCCCCUGUCCGACGAUCAGGGCUUCCGACAAGAUUUUGGUACCGGACCCGGUGAGUAGCUGAGGUAGCUGCCUUCAGUUCAGGGAGACCAAGGUAGAUUUGCUGGCAUCCGCAGAGCCUAAAUUCCCCCAUAAUUGUACUUUUCUUUUCUGACCAGUGUUUGUAGUAAUUCGUAGAUGUUCAUGAAUUUGUGACACCAGAUUCGUGGAUAGACAUGUAGUGGUUUAUUUGAAUUUGUUAUAACUCUUCCGCACUUUUCAUA